UACAGAGGUCCCAAGCGUUGUUCGGAUUCAUUGGGCGUAAAGGGUGCGUAGGCGGUGAUGUAAGUUGGAUGUGAAAUCCCAGGGCUCAACCCUGGAACUGCAUUCAAUACUGCAUUGCUAGAGUACUGGAGAGGAGAUUGGAAUUCACGGUGUAGCAGUGAAAUGCGUAGAUAUCGUGAGGAAGACCAGUGGCGAAGGCGAAUCUCUGGACAGUUACUGACGCUGAGGCACGAAGGCUAGGGGAGCAAACGGG
rnacentral:rRNA from 1 species